rnacentral:rRNA from 1 species
AGUGAACGCUGGCGGUAGGCCUAACACAUGCAAGUCGAACGGCAGCACAGUAAGAGCUUGCUCUUACGGGUGGCGAGUGGCGGACGGGUGAGGAAUACAUCGGAAUCUACUUUUUCGUGGGGGAUAACGUAGGGAAACUUACGCUAAUACCGCAUACGACCUACGGGUGAAAGCAGGGGAUCUUCGGACCUUGCGCGAUUGAAUGAGCCGAUGGCGGAUUAGCUAGUUGGCGGGGUAAAGGCCCACCAAGGCGACGAUCCGUAGCUGGUCUGAGAGGAUGAUUAGCCACACUGGAACUGAGACACGGUCCAGACUCCGACGGGAGGCAGCAGUGGGGAAUAUUGGACAAUGGGCGCAAGCCUGAUCCAGCCAUACCGCGUGGGUGAAGAAGGCCUUCGGGUUGUAAAGCCCUUUUGUUGGGAAAGAAAAGCAGCAGGUUAAUACCCCGCUGUUCUGACGGUACCCAAAGAAUAAGCACCGGCUAACUUCGUG